GGGGGAGUAACUCAGCUGGUUAGAGUGUUGGUUUGUCACGCCAAAAGUCGCGGGUUCAAGUCCCGUCUCUCCCG
rnacentral:tRNA from 1 species